GCGGUAUUUUAGCCCAUUCAGAGGAACUUGUCCUGUAAUUGAUAUUCCACGUUUUGAUUUACUUAUUUUUUUAAUUUACAUAUCGCUGUAGAUUGAAUAUUUUUUUAGAAUAUUAAUAUUCAAGAAUUAUAAUUAAAAGAAAUCAGGUCAAGAUGUAGUUUAUAAAUAAGAAGAGAUGAGUUACAAUAAGUAUAUUUAUAUGAAUAUAUUUUUUUAAUAAAUAUGGAAGGUGGAUUUGAAAGUAAUUUUAAUUAAAUUUUUAAUAUGAUUAAGCUCUAAAAUAUGUACAUAUCGCCCGUCGCUUUCACUAUAAAGUGAAAUAAGUCGUAACAAAGUAGGGGUACCGGAAGGUGUCCCUAGAAAGCCAAAUUAAAGUUUUUUAAAGCAUUUUAUUUACAUUAAAAAGAAUAUUGAAUUAAUCAAUAUAGUUUGAAAUUAAAAGAUUAUGUGUGUAUAUUGCAAUUUUUGAUUAAAUUAAAAAAAAUAAUUUUUAUUAUAUUAAUUGUUAUGAAGUAAUAAAGAAAAAUGAAUGAUAGAUAAUUAGUAUUGAAAGAGAAUUUAUAUAUUUUUUUAAAAGAAAAAUUUAUUUUUUGUACCUUGGGUAUUAGGGUUUAUUAAAAAUAAUUUAUUAAAUAUAGUUUUCUCGAAUUUAAAAGAGCUAUAAAAAUAGGGUUUUUAUUGUGGAAGAAAUAUUAUUCAUAUUUUUAUAGAAGUGAAAUAUUAUUCGAUUUUAAAUAUAUCUAGUUUUUCAAGAAAAAAAUUAAAUUUUAUUUUUUAAGAUUAUUGAAUUUAUUAAAUAAUUUAAUAUUAUAAAAAUUUUAUAUAUUAAGGGGUAAGCUUUGAUAUAAAUAAGUAAAAUUAUUAAAUAAUUUAUUUAAUGAAUAGAGUUAAAAGUUCUUAUUUUUAGUGUGUUAUAACUAUUUAAAUAAUGAAUAUGAUUUUUAUUGAAAAUUUACAUUUUUUAUUGAAAUUUAAGUUUAAAUAAAAAAGAUUUAGUAAUAAUGAUAAAAUUAGUAUAAUUUUAUGUUUAGUUGAAUUAUUUUAGAAAGGUUUUUUAAAGGAAUUCGGCAAAUAAAUUUUCCACCUGUUUAAUAAAAACAUGUUUUUUUGAUAAUAAUUUAAGAUCUAGCCUGCCCUAUGAUGAAAAAUUAAAUGGCCGCAGUAUUUUGACUGUGCAAAGGUAGCAUAAUCAUUAGUUUUUUAAUUGAAAGCUUGUAUGAAGGGUUGGAUGAGAAAAUAACUGUCUCUAUAAAAAUUUAAUAGAAUUUUAUUUUUAAGUUAGAAAGCUUAAAUAUUUAUAGAAGACGAGAAGACCCUAUAGAGUUUAAUAUUUAAGUUUAAUGAAAGUUUUAGAAUUUAU
rnacentral:rRNA from 1 species